rnacentral:rRNA from 1 species
GACGAACGCUGGCGGCGUGCUUAACACAUGCAAGUCGAACGGUGAAGCGCCUUCCUUUUUGGUGGGUGUGGAUGAGUGGCGAACGGGUGAGUAACACGUGAGUAACCUGCCCCCUUCUUCUGGAUAACCGCAUGAAAGUGUGGCUAAUACGGGAUAUUCUGGGUCUGUCGCAUGAUGGGUCUGGGAAAGAUAUUGUUUCGGUGGGGGAUGGGCUCGCGGCCUAUCAGCUUGUUGGUGGGGUGAUGGCCUACCGAGGCGGUGACGGGUAGCCGGCCUGAGAGGGUGGACGGUCACACUGGGACUGAGACACGGAGCAGACUCCUACAGGAGGCAGCGGUGGGGAAUAUUGCACGAUGGGCGCAAGCCUGAUGCAGCGACGCCGCGUGAGAGAUGGAGGCCUUCGGGUUGUGAACCUCUUUCGCCAGUGAAGCAGGCCUGCCUCGUUUGUGGGUGGGUUGACGGUAGCUGGAUAAGAAGCGCCGGCUAACUACGUG